AGUGAACGCUGGCGGUAGGCCUAACACAUGCAAGCCGAACGGCAGCACAGUAAGAGCUUGCUCUUACGGGUGGCGAGUGGCGGACGGGUGAGGAAUACAUCGGAAUCUACUUUUUCGUGGGGGAUAACGUAGGGAAACUUACGCUAAUACCGCAUAUGACCUACGGGUUAAAGCAGGAGAUCUUCGCACCUUGCGCGAUUGAAUUAGCCGAUGUCGGAUUAGCUAGUUGGCGGGGUAAAGGCCCACCAAGGCGACGAUCCGUAGCUGGUCUGAGAGGAUGAUCAGCCACACUGGAACUGAGACACGGUCCAGACUCCUACGGGAGGCAGCAGUGGGGAAUAUUGGACAAUGGGCGCAAGCCUGAUCCAGCCAUACCGCGUGGGUGAAGAAGGCCUUCGGGUUGUAAAGCCCUUUUGUUGGGAAAGAAAAGCAGCAGGUUAAUACCCCGCUGUUCUGACGGUACCCAAAGAAUAAGCACCGGCUAACUUCGUG
rnacentral:rRNA from 1 species